UACCCGAACCCCAUUAAUAGUUACUAAGUUUUUUAAAAAAGUAAAGUUACUAAAAGUCUCGAAACUAAACGAAAAGAAAACUUAAUUUCCAUUCCCCUUUCUCCUCUCCGUCUCUUCUCUAAUCUCCAGUCUCCACCAUUCUCCUUUCUCGAUUUCAAGCUCCAAUCCAACCCAGGCGUCUCCAAUCUCCAUCUUCUCUCUCUCUCGCUCUCUGUUUUCGGCCUUUUGUUCUAAAAUUUGCUCCGUUCUGGCGUCCCCAACUCCAAGCUAGAGCCUCCCCUCUGUCUCGGCCAAGGGGUGGCUUCGCUGGCUUGGAUUGGAAGUAAGGGCUUCACUUUCUGAUCGCUUUUUGAGAGGCGUGUCACUGGGUCGGUGGGGGAACUCGUAAGUAUUUACAUGUUUCAACAGGGUAUCCGGAACCUGUGGUAUAACACAUGUUUCAGUUUCGGAAUUCAACGGGGUAGAGUUCGGUUUCAAAAUCUCGAAACAUGUCCCUUAUAGGAUAUGGUCCGGGUAUUGUGAAAAAAACAGGGUACUUGGAACCAAUUACCCUUAGUAAGAAGGAAUCGUGUAUAAUAUGGUCUACAUGCUGGAUGACUGAAAUAAUGAAAAUAUCAUCGGUGUAUUCCAUUUAUGUGUGAACCA